rnacentral:rRNA from 1 species
GACGAACGCUGGCGGCGUGCCUAAUACAUGCAAGUCGAGCGAAUCUUUUGGGAGCUUGCUCCCAAAAGAUUAGCGGCGGACGGGUGAGUAACACGUGGGUAACCUGCCUGUAAGACUGGGAUAACUUCGGGAAACCGGAGCUAAUACCGGAUAGGUUCUUUUCUCGCAUGAGGGAAGAUGGAAAGAUGGUUCUGCUAUCACUUACAGAUGGACCCGCGGCGCAUUAGCUAGUUGGUGAGGUAACGGCUCACCAAGGCGACGAUGCGUAGCCGACCUGAGAGGGUGAUCGGACACACUGGGACUGAGACGCGGCCCAGACUCCUACGGGAGGCAGCAGUAGGGAAUCUUCCGCAAUGGACGAAAGUCUGACGGAGCAACGCCGCGUGAGCGAAGAAGGCCUUCGGGUCGUAAAGCUCUGUUGUUAGGGAAGAACAAGUACGAGAGUAACUGCUCGUACCUUGACGGUACCUAACCAGAAAGCCACGGCUAACUACGUGCCAGCCGCCGCCGUAAAAC